GGAAGUGAGGGCGAUCUGACUGUGACAUCUGUCACCCCCUUGAUCACCAGGGUUGAUUUGGCUGAUCUGGCAGGCUAGGCAGGUGUCCCCUUCCUUCCUCAACGCUCCAUGUGUGUCCCUCCUGAAGCUGCAUGCUGGGUCAAAGAGGACGACCUUCCCCAACAGAGGAAGCUCUUAAGGUAUAUUGAAUCAAGCUUUUGUACCAGUUGUUCAAGUUGUACUCAGUUCAAGUUCAUUACCUGGAGUCCAAUCAGCUUAACUAGAGUCAUUAUCUUAAACAUUAACACUCCCUUACCCAUCAGUAACCAGUUGCUAAUAGUU
ensembl:misc_RNA 7SK 7SK RNA